rnacentral:antisense_RNA from 1 species
UUACCUACCGUUGGAACCGCAAUGCCCCGUUCCCUGGCCGCGGCCGCUUCUCCAGGACCCGCGGCGACGGCAAGAGGGCGAGAACUGAGGCCCCAAGUGGCUCCGCGGCCGAGAAGCCUCUUCCUGGGGCGGCCGCUGACGGGAGGUUAAAGCUACGGCUGUGGCGCGGGGCCAGCCCGCAGGUGGCAGUAAAGUGUUUUGUCCAAACUAAAUUACAACGACUACUUCCCAAUAGAUGGAAGCAAACCGUCUGGACGAAGGAGAGCUUUUUUCUCAUGGUGCUGCUGUGUUAGCCUAGUGACAGCUCUGUAUGGCCCACACCUGGUCCACAGGAAGCUCUCAGGCACCUCUUGCCCGAACAAACUUGGGAGUACAGGCUAAUCCCAGUGCAGAUUCAACAUUCCUCUACUCUGCUGCCAAAACAGCCGCCAGCCUGUGGGAGUCAGACACAGGCCCACGGUGCCCCUCAGACUGCAAGAGGCACAGGUCAAGUGCUCUGAGCAGUUCCAUUGAAGGCCCACUCCCUUGACUUGAGGUAAAAGGUAGGCAGGCACCUGUGGUAAGAAUCACAGCUCACCAGCAACAGUCUCCAAAGACAUUGUCCUCAAUAAUUCUGGUUUGGCCUUUUAUAACUACAUAACUGUGAGUAUUUAAUCUACCUGCUUUGUCUAAAUCCUCUGAAAUUUCUAGAGGGGGUCUAUCUCAGAAAUCACUUUAGUUUUUGGAGGGAAGAAGAUGGUUUCUUUUGUAAUAAUCUUGUUGCUUCAGUUAAAACAGUGGUUCUCAACUGCGACAAUUUUGGGGGACCAUGUGUGCAGACAUUUUUGGGUUUUUUUUAACAUUUUUUUUCCUUCUGAAUUCAGGAUCUGCUUGAAUACAGACAUUUUUUAUUGUCACCACUGGAAAGGUGCUAUUGGUUGGUGGGUGAAGGUCAAGGAUGCUGGUAAACAUCCUUUACGGCACAGGACAGCCCCUACAGCAAAGAAUAGCAAUUCUGUUUGUUACAGAGAUGAGAGAAUACCUUACUAAAAGAAUACUUCAAAAUUACAUCACUUUUUCUUCUUUUUUCCUACAAAUUCUUUACCUGUAGAUGGAAACGUCACAUUUCAAUGUAUCAAUAGAGUCAAAAAUAGCAUUUGCGAUAGUUAUUUGGCCAGGAUGAGAAGUGACUGGUAUAGACCAAGCCUUUGUGUUUCCAAGACUCCCUCUGGAGAUGAGGCCAUGCCAGGAAAAUUACUACUUGAGA